AAUUAUAACGACUUCAAAUACUCUUUCAUUGUUUAUUAAUUUGGUAAGAUCUAACCAAGACCUUUGUGUUUCUUCUCUUUUGUCACACAGAUAUACAGGCUUAAAUACGUACGCUCACAAUUUCACAGUCUCUCUUAGUUCUAUAUUUGCCACCCCAAAAGUUCAAGGCAUAAUUUCUAAGCUGUUGACAGAUCGCACCAUUUACAGUCUCAGUCUUAAGUCACUAGGUAAAACACUGCAACCACACCAAUAUUUUUGAUCACUUGUUUGAUCUAUCUAGCCAUUCCUACCCAUCUUUUAAUUAACAGUACUUUAAAAGUAUUUUAUUUUCAUUUGUAGGCAUGGUAUACAUGGAGGCACCUACAGGAAAAGUGUGUUACAAUUCAAGACAACAGCUGAACUGUACCAGUAUAGAGCCUAUGAACAAGUGUGUGUGGCAGAUGUCCAGAGAUUAUGAAGCAACAUUGACUCUAGGACCAGGGAGUGAAGUACAGCUGUCAGAUACUUGUACAGAUCUCUCUACAGUCACACUUCUAAAGACAAAUGGAUACUGGUCAGGUGUGUUGAAUGCAAUCAUAUGAGUGAAGUGGAAUGCCAUUUAUAAUACUGUGACCUUUUGUUCUCAAUUCUCAUUUUCUUGAUAUGCCAGGAACAUACAUCUGCCUUUUUGUUAGUGGGAACAUAGCUCACAUGGCCAUGGCUCCUAUUCAGAUUGCACUUCUGCCAGAGGUCAUUAAUGUGACAAGCAAUCCACAAACUGCAGAUUGUUCUGCAUCAUCAUCCACCACAGUUAGCCUCUUAUGUUCCAUCGAAAACAGCACUGAAACCUACAAAGCCACGCUAAAACUCGGAGCUACUGAAAUUGUACCUCCUAAAGACGAGAACAAUGGAAUAAUCAAGUAUAAAGCAGAUUUCCCUGUUGAUUGUCUGGCACCAGGCAAACCAAGUUCACUUGAGGCCAGCUGCACUAUAGAGAACUCUUUGAAUCAGCUGCGAAAUCGCACAAUAAGAGUACCAAUCAUUUACCGUAAGUACUGAAAAUCAUGCUCUACUAAUGCAAAAGACUGUCAUUGUACAUAAGCCCUGGGUGACUGGUUAAGUGAAAAAAGAAUGUUUGGAUGAUUAAUUUGUUUGUUUGUUUGCUUGUUUUUAUAGCCAGUGACCUGUUUUGUGCAGCGCAAGAAAUUGAUGGGAGAAAAUGGCCAAAAACAAAGAAUAAUGAAACAGCCAUUAUAGAUUGUACUGCAUCAGGGAGACAGGGCUUAAUGAAACGCAAAUGCAACGGGAAAACAUGGGGGGAAGAAAUCUCUCUCUGUGUUAAAGCAGUCCUGAAUAAUGUAGCUUUGACAGCACAGGUGACUGACGCUGAGUGUCUUAAAAACUUGAAGACCUAACUAUUGGUAUCUGAACUGUGCCUUUAAUGUGGAAAUGUCUCAUUUUUAUCUCUCCCAAGGAUUUUGAAAAAGGACUUGGAGCAACACAAGAUGGUGCUCGGUUUAUCUUUCAGAGCUUGAAAAAUAACACAUCUGAAGAUAAUGACAACAGUUUUGGUGACAUUAAGACUGCUGUUUCUGUUUUCAAAACUAUGAACAAAGCAUCAUCGAACAUGGCACUUGGCGAGGACCUUCUUGAAGUAAACAUAUUAACCAUUUCACAUACUAUAUAUAUAUAUAUAUAUAUAUAUAUAUAUAUAUAUAUAUAUAUAUAUAUAUAUGUAUAUGCACACAAUAUAUAAUAUAAUAUAAUUUCACUAUGUACCUCAGGCUCUAACAUUGUCAAAAUGGCCAUAUGCUUUAGCAUAUUUGCACUAAUCAGUUACAGGAAAAAAAUCUGUUCUCUUAUAGGAUU
ensembl:lncRNA